rnacentral:rRNA from 1 species
UACGGAGGAUGCAAGCGUUAUCCGGAAUGAUUGGGCGCAAAGCGUCCGCAGGUGGCUAUGUAAGUCUGCUGUUAAAGAGUGAGGCUCAACCUCAUAAGAGCAGUGGAAACUACGUGGCUAGAGUGCGUUCGGGGCAGAGGGAAUUCCUGGUGUAGCGGUGAAAUGCGUAGAGAUCAGGAAGAACACCGGUGGCGAAAGCGCUCUGCUAGGCCGCAACUGACACUCAUGGACGAAAGCUAGGGGAGCGAAUGGG